rnacentral:rRNA from 1 species
GUGUUGGCCGGGCGACGGUUGUCCCGGUUUAAGCGUGUAGGCUGGUUUUCCAGGCAAAUCCGGAAAAUCAAGGCUGAGGCGUGAUGACGAGGCACUACGGUGCUGAAGCAACAAAUGCCCUGCUUCCAGGAAAAGCCUCUAAGCAUCAGGUAACAUCAAAUCGUACCCCAAACCGACACAGGUGGUCAGGUAGAGAAUACCAAGGCGCUUGAGAGAACUCGGGUGAAGGAACUAGGCAAAAUGGUGCCGUAACUUCGGGAGAAGGCACGCUGAUAUGUAGGUGAAGCGACUUGCUCGUGGAGCUGAAAUCAGUCGAAGAUACCAGCUGGCUGCAACUGUUUAUUAAAAACACAGCACUGUGCAAACACGAAAGUGGACGUAUACGGUGUGACGCCUGCCCGGUGCCGGAAGGUUAAUUGAUGGGGUCAGCGCAAGCGAGGCUCUUGAUCGAAGCCCCGGUAAACGGCGGCCGUAACAAUAACGGUCCUAAGGUAGCGAAAUUCCUUGUCGGGUAAGUUCCGACCUGCACGAAUGGCGUAAUGAUGGCCAGGCUGUCUCCACCCGAGACUCAGUGAAAUUGAACUCGCUGUGAAGAUGCAGUGUACCCGCGGCAAGACGGAAAGACCCCGUGAACCUUUACUAUAGCUUGACACUGAACAUUGAGCCUUGAUGUGUAGGAUAGGUGGGAGGCUUUGAAGUGUGGACGCCAGUCUGCAUGGAGCCGACCUUGAAAUACCACCCUUUAAUGUUUGAUGUUCUAACGUGGACCCGUGAUCCGGGUUGCGGACAGUGUCUGGUGGGUAGUUUGACUGGGGCGGUCUCCUCCUAAAGAGUAACGGAGGAGCACGAAGGUUGGCUAAUCCUGGUCGGACAUCAGGAGGUUAGUGCAAUGGCAUAAGCCAGCUUGACUGCGAGCGUGACGGCGCGAGCAGGUGCGAAAGCAGGUCAUAGUGAUCCGGUGGUUCUGAAUGGAAGGGCCACCGCUCAACGGAUAAAAGGUACUCCGGGGAUAACAGGCUGAUACCGCCCAAGAGUUCAUAUCGACGGCGGUGUUUGGCACCUCGAUGUCGGCUCAUCACAUCCUGGAGCUGUAGUAGGUCCCAAGGGUAUGGCUGUUCGCCAUUUAAAGUGGUACGCGAGCUGGGUUUAGAACGUCGUGAGACAGUUCGGUCCCUAUCUGCCGUGGGCGCUGGAGAACUGAGGGGGGCUGCUCCUAGCACGAGAGGACCGGAGUGGACGCAUCACUGGUGUUCGGGUUGUCAUGCCAAUGGCACUGCCCGGUAGCUAAAUGCGGAAGAGAUAAGUGCUGAAAGCAUCUAAGCACGAAACUUGCCCCGAGAUGAGUUCUCCCUGACUCCUUGAGAGUCCUGAAGGAACGUUGAAGACGACGACGUUGAUAGGCCGGGUGUGUAAGCGCAGCGAUGCGUUGACUAACCGGUACUAAUGAACCGUGAGGCUUAACCU